rnacentral:rRNA from 1 species
GAUGAACGCUGGCGGCGUGCCUAAUACAUGCAAGUCGAGCGAACAGAUAAGGAGCUUGCUCCUUUGACGUUAGCGGCGGACGGGUGAGUAACACGUGGAUAACCUACCUAUAAGACUGGGAUAACUUCGGGAAACCGGAGCUAAUACCGGAUAACAUAUUGAACCGCAUGGUUCAAUAGUGAAAGGCGGCUUUGCUGUCACUUAUAGAUGGAUCCGCGCCGUAUUAGCUAGUUGGUAGGGUAACGGCUUACCAAGGCAACGAUACGUAGCCGACCUGAGAGGGGGAGCGGCGACAGUGGGACUGAGAGAGGGCCCAGACUGCUACGGGAGGCAGCAGGGGGGAAGAGUGCACAAUGGGCGGAAGCCGGAGGCAGCAACGCCGGGGGCGGGAUGAAGGGCUGCGGGUUGGAAACCGCUUUCGCAUGUGAAGGAGCGUGAGUGACGGUAAUGGGUAAAGAAGAACCGGCUAACUACGUG